rnacentral:rRNA from 1 species
GCAAGUCGAACGAGGAGGUAGCUUCGGUUACUGGACAGGGGCGGACGGGUGAGUAACACGUGGGAACAUGCCUUUCAGUACGGAACAACGCUUGGAAACGAGUGCUAAUACCGUAUAAGGCCUUCGGGGGAAAGAUUUAUCGCUGAAAGAUUGGCCCGCGCUAGAUUAGCUAGUUGGUAAGGUAAUGGCUUACCAAGGCGACGAUCUAUAGCUGGUUUGAGAGGAUGAUC